UCCUGGGCCUCCAGGAACCCCUUUCCGCCCACCCUCCCCUCUCUCUCGCCCCUUUUCGCUUCAGGUGACCAAACCGUCUUUACCUAUACUCAGAAAUCCCCUUGCCCUCCUGUCCCUUGGGAAAUAAACCCCAAGGUUUAUUCCGACCAGAGUUGUAAUUCUCCCCCUCCCCCUUUAACAUCUAGGAAGUGGCUUUGCCUGAAGCUCCCCUCCCCCAAUGGCUUGUAGAGGAGAAACACAAAUUUAACGUUUCUCCAGUGCUGUUGAGUAAAUAAUAUUCUCCCCUAAUCCUCAACCCUCCGCCCCCAGCCACCUAGGAGUUUUCUGUCCUUAAUUGUUUCAGUCCAUUUCAGUCUCCUGGCUUGUAGCUCUUAAUACUCUCCCUUCCCCCGGAAGACACCUCAUCUAGGAGUAGUGCUAUGGUAUUUAAUUAAUUCUCUCGACCCUUUUCCCCUUGUCGCCCCCACCCCUUCUGCUUGCUGCAUCUGAUGCUUCAUUCCAUUCUUUUCUUGACCUGUGUUCCAAGUGUCCCGUUGGAAGGGGGUGUGUACCUGCUUCACUUUAUGGUAAUAACUAGUUAGGUUGGGUCCUUAUGCAUAGCACUAAAGAUUUUCUAUCAUUUUGGUUUGGUAUAAAUUUUCCAAAUUUGUUGGUAAUAUGAAUAAUAGCUUGUUAAGGAUGAUUGAAUACAUAUUGACUUUUUAAAACUCCAUUUUGUAAACCUCGAGGCUAUAUAAAUGAACACUAAAUUUCAGAAUCAUUUCUCCAACUUGGUAUUUCUUUAAUCGACGAUUCAUUUUUAAGGUCCAGGUUUAUGAGACUAUGAUAAACAAAAACAAAUAUUACUUUUUAAAUUAUAAGAACAUUUGGUAUUUGUACAGUUAAGUCCUACAAUAGUAACAGGCUCAUAUUGAGGAGAGCUGAAAGUCUUUAGCUGCUGAACCCUUCCAUUUCUUGCAACAAAAUACCAGACAAAAUUUUUAAGUCUAAUGAAGUGUGGCAGACUGAAGUUUACUGCACAAUAAGUGCCCAACACGACUCUCCUGAGUCCCUGGAAUUUUUGUUAAAUGAUCACAUUAUUUCUUCGUAGUUAAGGAAAUUAUUUUUAAAAUUGCAAAUGAGUAUGGGGGCAGGGUUUAUACAUGGUUAACAUAAUUUUAGUAUCAUACAGAUAAUCUAAUCUAAUCGAAAUUGUUGUCUUUCCAGUGUAUUACUGUAAACAUUCAGUAAAUUUUGGUGUGGAUAAUAAAUGAAAGCACCUUAACCUUUAAUUACUGACUUCAGGGAUUGAAAAUUCUGGACUGGGAUUUGCUCCAAUAUAUGAACAUCAUAGACGCUGUGUAUCAUAGAUGAGCAUGACUAUGGAAUAAAGUCAUUUGUGCAGAAUUGUUAUAUAUCGAACACAAAAUAAAUUGUUCCUCUCACUAUCAGCCAACUUGUAUUUUAUGGUUUGGAAUUCUCCUUGUUGCAGUACUAAGGUUUCUCAGAAUGUCAUGUGGGAUACUGUUGCUGACCUUUCAUCAAUUCAUCAUUGUGCAAGCUCCCAGCAGAGUGACAAUAUGCUACUAUAAGUAUUAAGAUUUAAGUCUUCAAAGACUAGUGGAUAAACACCAGCAAGUGCAAUUAUAUUUAUCAUAUUGAGCCUUUUGUCCAUGUAAAAAGAUAACAUUCAAGACAUGAUAAAUUUACUAUGAACAGACUUUUACCACACCGCUAGACAAACUUUCAUAUGUCAUUGUUUUGGAAACACAUUAGAUUUUAUAAACACAACAUGAAAUACUUUGGAAGAUAAUCAUUUUACUAAGUAAAAAGACUACUGUGUUUUCCUGAUUACUAUGGAAUUUUAUCAUAGUUAUUUUGACAUCAAAACUAAACCCCAACACUACCUCUGGCUUUUAGCUAAUCUCUCAAAAUGAAAAGUGGACCUAUCUAGUUUAAUGGAGUCCCAUGACUAUCAGUCUGCCUUUUUUUUUGUCUCAUCUUUCCUGCUGAUUUUAAUUUCUCUGUAAUUUGUAGCCUUAUUUGUUUGAGGUAAUAAGAAAUUAAGUGACUUGUCAGUAUUAACACUGCUACUAAUUUGUGCAGUCUGUGGGACUUGAAUUUAUGGUAGGUCUUCUUGACUCAAACUUGAUUUCCCUAGAUGGCUUAAUGUCCCCUAAAUGGCAUAUUAUGUUGCCUAUUGGGUGAGUUUUGAACAUUGUUGCAAUGGAGCUAGCAUUACUGGUCCCCUCCCCACCCCAUACCAAUUAUGGGUUAGGUAAGAUUUAGUCUAAGUAAACAGACCAGUGAGUUUAGAAAACACUCAAAAUAAUAUUUAACUCAAAACCUAAAAUAGAAUAUCUGAUAAAUUAGAACAACAAAAUUGAAAACAAAAAAGCAAGAAUCAAUAAGACUAGAAACUGGUUUUAAAAAAAUGGGUCAUUCAUAAAUCUUUUUUUUUUUUAAGAGGAAAAGCAGAUUAUUAGUAUCAAAAACGAAAAUGGCACAUUUGCAACAAAUAAGAAGUAAAAGAAAAUAUUAGAAGCUAUUUUAUCCAACUGUAUGCCAAUAAACCAACUGAAAUGGAUGACUUUAUAAAAAUAUAAGAUGCUCAGAUUAACAGAACAAAAAGCAAAGAAUUUAAACAACCUAAUCUUAUAAAAAUAAAUUGGCUUUGUUGCCAUGUUCCUGGAUCUAUAUUUUCCCCAAUAUAGUAUUAAAGACUUUUUUUUUUUAAAACCCAGUUGCAUCUCUUGAUGUAACUCAUUUUAUUAGACCUUAAUGGAGAACCAAUAUCCCUUAGUUAUACAUUCCUAAUGCAUUAGAUAGUCUUUUGUGUUGUAUGUUAGUAUCCUUUUUUCACUUUUUUUUUGGGGGGGGGAAUGGAAAACUACAUCUGGGUUCAAGUUUUUGUUUUGACAUUUAGCAGCUUUGUGACUUAAACUUGAUAGGUUGUUAGGAAGCAAGAACUUUGUAAACUUUAAAGUGCUAUAUAAAUACGAUGUUAUUCAAAAGAUAAAAUCAUUUUAUAGUAAUGGAAGUUCCUGAAAAUUUAUAUGCAAAAUAAGUUUUUAUAAGUAGAAUAGUAAUUUGGGAGAAGAUUGAGAUUUAAAGAGCCAUUGGUCAUAUCCUUUAUAUACAUUCAUAUAUACACACACACACACACACACACACACACACACACACACACACAGACACAUAUGACCUGGGCGCAUACCUCUGUAUUUUGAUACUUUUGGGUCUGUAGAACUGAAUUUCAUUUAUAAAGAUCCUUUAAUAUUGAAUGACAGAGAAAGGCUUUUCUUUCCCUUUCCUCUUUUUUUGUUUUUGUCUGUUUCUUACAUAAAAAGGUUUGGGAAGUAUUAGUAUUUAGGAGCAUAUUGGAAAUCAUAAGAAAUCUAUAUAAUUUGCUCAAAAGUAAUAUACAUAUAUUUUUAAGAUAAUCACUGAAGUGGGCUGUUGAAUGUGGAAAAUGUCUCAGUCAAAUUCAGAAAGAUGUCUUUGAAGUAAAUAUAUACAGAUUUUAUAUGUCUUAUCCCUACAUAAACAUAUAAAUACCACAAAUAAUUACCCAGUAAGCAUUUAUUCAGUACCUUCUGUGUGCCAGGCACUGUGCUAAGUGCUAGGGAUGCAAAAAGGCAAAAGAACAGCCUUUGUUCUAAAGGAGUUUACCAUCUAAGGUGGGAGAGGAGAAACAGCAUGAAAAUAAACAUACAAAGCAAGCUGUGGAAAUAAUUAACAGAAGGAAGAUACUAGAAUUUCAGGCAUGGAGGGACAGCCAGAGAAAAUUUCUGAGAGAUGAUAACAUCUUAUUUGUAGAACAACUAGGAUGCAGUGUCCGAGCCAAAGAAUAUCUGUUGGUGAGUAAGGGAAGGACUUUGAAUGCCAAAGAGUUUUUUUUUUUUUUGUAUCUGAUCCUGGAGGCAAUUUUAGGAAGGUGGUGACAUGAUUAAACUUGUACUUUAGGAAUAUCAUUUUAGUAUCUUAGUGGAGGAUGGCUUGUAGUGGGGAAAGACUUUAGGCAGGCAGAACCACUAGUCAGCUAUUGCAAUAAUCCAAGAGUUAGGUGAAGGGGACCUGCACAAGAGUGGUGGCAGUAUUGGCAGAGAGAUGUUAGAAAGAUGGAAAUCUAAAUAUUAGAUCUAUGUGUCAUUUUUAUUAAUUGAUUAAUUACUAAACAAAGAUUAUCUCAAGUAACUACUAGAGAAAAUUUUUGAAGUUGGAGAGAGGAGCUAUAGUCACUUGAUAGGAACGGGGUAUAAGAAGUCUUUUAUUCAUUGGUUUAGUUUCCUGCUGCAUUACUGAAUUGAUUGGUAACUAUGGAGAUACUACUUGCCUGUAGAGAAUUGUUAACUGAAAUGCCAGUAUGAGCCUUUAAUUUUUGUGAACCGUGGUGUGAGGAUUUAAAAAAUGAUAGAUGUUUUAAUGAGUGGGGAGGUAAUGGGAUGUGUAAUGGAAAGAAUCUUCAACUAAAGAGCUAGGAGGCUUAGGUUAUAGCUGUGCUUCAGCUACUAAUGUUAGCUGUGUGAUUUGUGAUAAGUUGACCCAUUUCCUUAUCUGUAAAGUGAAUUGUGGGAGCUGGAUAAUCUCCAAGAUCCCUUUUAGGUUUAAGAUGCUAAAAUGAUCAAAGAGCAAGUUUAUUUUUUUAUGGCAAAUGUGUGAUUCUUCAUUGUAUUCCCACAUAACUGAUCUAUUAUGCUAUUCUUGUGCAAUACAUAACAUUGAUAGCCCAAGGUCUCAUAAUAACAUGUAAACUUUUAGCAGAACAAAUACAAAAUAUGACUGAAGCCUAGAAAAAGAAAUUCCUUGAACUAAAAUUUUACUUGAAACUGAGCAUUUGUGAUGGUGUGAUCACAACCCUAGAAGUAAACACAAAACAAGUCUAAUUAAAUUACUAGCAGAUUACCCUUCUUCCUUUAAAAAAAAAUAAAUGCAUCCUUGCUUCUUGUGCAUAUCCUCUCAUAAAUUCUCCACAGAGAAUCUGUCUAACAUGGUAGGGACAUGCACAGAUACCAAGGAAGAAUGGCAUUUCCAUCAGACUGUCCAUUAAGUUAUUCUUUCAUUCUUGCUGAAUCUUAUGCAAAUUGUUACAGAAUCUAUUAACAGGAAAAAAUCUCAAGUCCUCUAGGCCAAGCCAUACUUGAAUAAAAUUUUAUAUUGGUAUCAUCACCAACAAGCUUUCAUCUUAUGUGUGAAAUUCUUCAAUGAGACAAAAGCCAUUAUUUUUUUCUGGACCAGAAGAAAAAGAAGAGAUGAAGACAUGUUUUGAUUAAGCUAAUUAUUAUUAGAAAACAGUCUCUAAAGACAUGAACAGGAAAUCCCUUCUAUAAUCUACACUAAACAUACUGCUAUUCAACUUUUACCUCUUCAUUGAGUGGAGGACCUUUUUGUGUAUUUCCUUUUUUUAAAAUAUUUUUUAAAUUAUUUUUUACAUUCAUUUUUGUAAGUAAUAUUAAAAAAACAAAACAUAAACUCAAACAAUUGAAAAGUCAUAUGCUUUCAUCUGCAUUCUGAGAGUUCUUUUUCUGGAGGUGGUUAGCAACAUUCUUUGUCCCAAGUCCCUCAAACUUGCCUUGGAUCAUUUUAUGCUGAGAGUAGCUAAGUCUAUCACAGUUCUACAAUAUUUUGCUGUUACUAUAUAUGAUUUUUUCCUGGUUCUGCUUAUUUAACUCUGCAUCAGUUCAUGUAGAUUUUUCCAGCUCAUUCUGAAAUCAUUCUGUUCAUUCCUCAGCAUAAUAGUAUUCCAUCACCAUCAUAUAACACAAUUUAUUCAGCCAUUCCCCAAUGAAUAUCCCUUCAAUUUUCACUUCUUUGCCACUACCAAAAGAACAGCUAUAAAUAUUUUUGUACAAGUAGGUUUUUUCUCCAUUUUUGUGUGCUUUUUAAAAUGAGUUGUAAAAAAUAAAUUUAGUUGAUGACUUCUGUUUCUUUGAUCAUCAUAGUUAUCCCAAGUGUUUCUUCCCAGCUUACAAAUAGACCUUUUAAGAGAAGGAAACAAGUCAAUAUUGAUCAAAACACUGAAAAAGACAGAAAAUAUUUGCAAUGUGUAAUACCGGUGAUUUUCCUACCAUCAGAAACAGAUGGGGUAUGUGUGGGGAUAUCUCAUAUCUUUGCAGUCCAGUCCUUGAUCUUUGUAAUUUUGUUACAUUCACUUUUGAUUUUUAUUUUGAUGAUGUGUUUGGUGUUUAGUUUCUUUCUACCUACAGUAUCUUCUUGUUAUUGAUUUCUUGACUGCUGACUUCAGUACUUUUCAUCAGAAUGGUUUGGCCAGUUCACAACUCGCAGCGCAUUAGUGUAUCAAUUUUUCCUUGUCCCAAUCAGCAUUUGUCAUUUCCUUUUCUCUCAUGUUAGUCAAUCUUGAUUAGGUAAUUAGGUGGUGGUAUCUCAGAGUUGCUUUAAUUUGCAUUUCUCUAAUAGUUAUUAAAGCCUUUUUUAUUUUUUUAUUGAUUUGCUUUCUUCUGAAAACUGCCUGUUUGUUUAUAUUGUCUUUAGGUUUGUCCUGGCAGGUAGACUCCUAAGUAUUUUAUAUUGUCUUAUUUGUUUUUAGUUUUAGGCUUAUUUGUUAUUAGUCUUCUUAAUAGGUUUUAUGAGAAGCAUAUAGAUAUGCUGAUGAUUUAUGUGGGUUUAUUAUAUAUUCUGCAACUUUGCUAAAAUUAUUAAUUAUUUCAAUGAUUUUUUUAGUUGAUUCUCUAGAAUUCUCUGAGAAUACCAUCUACAGAGAGUGAUAGUUUUCUUGAUUGCCUAUUUUUAUUCCGCUAUUUUUUUUCUUAUUGCUGUAGCUAGCAUUUCUUAUACAAUAUUGAAUAAUGGUGGUGAAAAGGAAAGUACUUUCUUCCAAAUCACUGAUCUUAUUGGGAAAGUUGUUUUUGUUUUUUUAGAUACUACUAAUCAUUUUUAAGAAAAGUGCUUUCUGGUAUUUUUUUAAUAGAAAUGAUUAUUCUAUUUUGUCAAAAGACUGUUGUUUCUAUUGAUAGAAUUGUAUGACUUUUGUUAUAUAGUCAAUUUUGCUGAUUUUGUUGUGGUCAGUCAUUUCAGACAUGUCUUGACUCUUUGUUGACCCCAUUUGGGAUUUUCUUGGCAAAGUUACUGGAGUGGUUUGCCCCUUCCUUCUCCAUCUCAUUUUACAUAUAAAGAAACUGAAGCAAACAGGGCUUAAGUGACUUGCCCAGGGCCACACAGCUAGUUAGUAUCUGAGAUCCGAUCUGAACUCAGCAAGUCUAACUUACUCUAGGCCUGGCAUUCUAUCCACUGAGCCACCUAAUUUUCCUAAUAUGGAAACAGCCCUGCAUAAAUCCCAUUUGGUCAUAGUAUAGGAUAUUUGUGAUAUAUUUCUAUGAUAUUCUUGCUAGUGUUUAUUUAUUUGUUUACUUAGCAUCAGUAUUUCAUUAAAAAAUUGUGUUUUUUUUUCUCUGUUUUUGUUCUUUCUGGUUUAGGUAUUAAAACCAUAUUUGUGUCAUAAAAGGAAUUUGGUAACUCCUUCACCAGUUUUUUCAAUAGAUUGUUCCUUUAAUGUUUGGCAGAGUUCACUUGUGAAAAAUUCCAUCUGGUCCUGGUGAUUUCUUACAGAGUUCAUUGAUGGCUUAUUCAGUUUAUUUUUCUAAGAUUUGAGGAUUACGUAUUUCUGUUAAUCUGAGUAAUUUAUAUUUUUGUAAAUAUUCAUCCAUUUCACUUAAAUUGUCAGUUUUACUGUAUAUCAUUGGGCAAAAUAACUCCUAAUAAUUGCUUUAAUUUCAACUUCUUAAAUGAUAAUGUUCACCCUUUCCAUUUUUGAUACUGGUUAAUUUGUCUUCCUUUUUAAAAAUCAAAUGAACCAAUGUUUUAUCUACCUUCCCUCUCCAAAAAAAACCCCAAAUCAACAACAACCCAACUCUUUAGUUUUAUUCUUUUUUUUUUAAACCCUUAGCUUCCUUCUUGGAACCAAUUGGUUCCAAGGCAGAAGAGUGGUAAGGACUGGUCAAGUGACUUGCCCAGGGUCACACAGCUGGGAAGUGUCUGAGGCUAGAUUUGAACCUAGAACCUCCCAUCUCUAGGGCUGGUUCUCAAUCCACUGAGUCAUCUAGCUUCCCCUUUUAGUUUUAUUCUUUCAAUUUUUUUAUAUUCAAUUUUAUUAAUCUCUCCUUUGAUUUACAAGAUUUCCAUUUUGGAAUUUAAUUUGGUAAUUUUAACUUGUUCUUUUUUUAAGCUUCAUGCCUAGUUUGUUGAUCUUUCUUUUAUUGAUGUACAUGUUUAGAGAUAUAAAAUUUCCCCUAAAUAGUGCUUUAAUUACAUCUUAAAAAAUUUGGAAUGUUGUCAAUCUCUUAAAUGAAAUUGACUUUUCUAUGAUUUGUUCUUUGACCCAUUUAUUCUUUAGCAUGAGAUUAAUUUCUACUUAAAAUUUUAAUAUAUGCUUCCAAGACCCUUUAUUGAAUUUAUUCCAUUAUAAUCUGAAAAGGGUGGAUUUAAUAUUUCUGCCCAUAUGAAUUUGGUUGUGAAGUUUUCAGGCUGUAAUGUGUAGUCAGUUUUUGUGAAGGUGUCUUUCCAUUCAUAUUAUAUUUUACUUACUAGCCAGGUACUUUGAUCCAGGAAUAUUGACCUCCUGGUUGUUCCACAAACAAGAUGCUCCCAUCUCUCAUGUCAAGGCAUUUUCUAUGGCUGUCUUCCAUGCUUGACAUGCUCUUCCCUCCUCCAUAUUGUCUACUAACUUUCCUAACUCCCCUUAAGUCCCAACUAAAACCCUAUCUUUUACUUAAAAGUCUUAAAAAAGACUUAAAAGUCUUCCCCAAACCUCUUAAUUCUAGUGCUUUCCUCCUCUUUCUGUUUAUUCUGUAUUUAUCCAACUACAGUUGCUUUUCUUUCUUCUUCCCUUGACUAAAAUUUUUUCUCACUUGAAAGUACCAGGAGAUAAUUCUUUGGAGGGGUAGGUAGUUUUUUUCUUGGAAUUUUUAGCUCCUUUGGAAAUAACCUCAUGUUUGUUUCUUGGUUUGUGUAGUUAGUAAUAUUUUUUCUUUCAUUUGUUUUCUGUGUGGCAUUCUUCUGUAUUCCAGCCUUU